UGCGACCUCAGAUCAGACGUGACGACCCGCUUAAUUUAAGCAUAUUACUAAGCGGAGGAAAAGAAACUAACGAGGAUUCCCUCAGUAACGGCGAGUGAACAGGGAAAAGCCCAGCGCCGAAUCCCCGCUCGCAUUACGGGCGCGUGGACCUGUGGCGUACAGGAGCUCGCACCUCCCGGUGUCGCUCGGGGGUCCAAGUCCUUUCGAUCGGGGCCUCCUCCAUGGACGGUGGAAGGCCGGUGCGUUGGCCCCCGACGCGCCGGGGUCGGGUCUCUUUGGAGUCGGGUUGCUUGGGAAUGCAGCCUAAAGCGGGUGGUAAACUCCAUCCAAGGCUAAAUACGUGCACGAGGCCGAUAGCCGACAAGUACCGUGAGGGAAAGUU
rnacentral:rRNA from 1 species